AGCAGUAGCCGCGGUAAUACGUAGGGUGCAAGCGUUGUCCGGAAUUAUUGGGCGUAAAGAGCUCGUAGGCGGUUUGUCGCGUCUGCUGUGAAAUCCCGAGGCUCAACCUCGGGCUUGCAGUGGGUACGGGCAGACUAGAGUGCGGUAGGGGAGAUUGGAAUUCCUGGUGUAGCGGUGGAAUGCGCAGAUAUCAGGAGGAACACCGAUGGCGAAGGCAGAUCUCUGGGCCGUAACUGACGCUGAGGAGCGAAAGCGUGGGGAGCGAACAGGAUUAGAUACCCCAGUAGUCCCUGUCUCUUAUAA
rnacentral:rRNA from 1 species